rnacentral:lncRNA from 1 species
GUAAACAAAACUCACACCUUUAUUAGGCUGUAUGGCUUUUAAAGAGUAUGACUGAAGACUAAAAAGAUGGACACACUGUUUUACAUAACAUCUCCAGAACAUGCAGUGGCUAUAAUUUCCACAUACUGACCUUUAAAUGGGAAAAGACGUAAAAAGUUGUGGCCAAGAAUACACUUGGAAGUUUCAGUAUCUUAUUCUGUACAUUGAAUAAGUGAAAGUGAAUGGCAUUUGUCACAAUGCAGACUAAUUUUCUGUCUGGGUUGUCCCCAGUUAAUGUGGUUUUUUUUUUUUCCUUUUUUUUCCCCAGAAUUAUGAAUGAGAAUGGGAAGCGUGUAUGUCAAGGGAAUCAUAUUCCCUUAGCAGAAAGGGAACAGAUACCUAAACUAUCAUGCACAGUCAAGGCUGGGGAAAUUUCUCCGUGUCAGCCUGGUGAGGGACAGCCAUGCAGCCUGAGGAGACCAGCUUCCAGGAGGAAAAAUGUAGGACUGAGUCUUCCACUGGUUUGUUUAGUGGUGCAGAAGACAAAGCCUGGUUGGUGCCGCUGCUGUCGAAUAGGUCAUCAGUGACAACAACCUGUGCUGCAGAAGUUAGCCCCCACUGACACUGUUUUCACUCCACUUGAAUGGAAGCUCCUGGGAGUCUUUCUUUAAAGAGCCCAGGGGUGGGGAAGGCUGGAAAAUGGAGAGAAAGGGAAUAAAAUAAUUAUAGAAAUAACA